rnacentral:rRNA from 1 species
CUAUGGCGAUACCACCCUGAUCUUGGAAGCUAAGCACUGUCAGGCCUGGUUAGUACUUGGAUGGGAGAAUAUACAUAACAUAUUUUUCAUAGAAAUUAGGU